rnacentral:lncRNA from 1 species
CAAGCCAUGUCUUAAAUAACCAAACAAAUGUAUUUGUAUCUUCAUUCGAAACUAAUCCACAACCAAAUAAAGUUGAUUGCCCAUGGUGAUUCACCCCUACGAAAGGAGCGAACGACAUAUCGUACUUGUUAGUCAGAUAAGUGGUGUCAAAAGUAACUACAUCACCGAAUUCUUUAUAUGCUUGCCUGCAUCUAUUAUCCGCCCAAAACACAUUACUUAACUGAGACUCCUCAUCCAAGUCUAUACUGAAAUAAAAACCAGGACUACAUGCUUGUAUUUUCGAGAAGUAACUCUGUAAUGCAGCAACGUCUCCUUCACCAAGUCUUAAACGCCGCACUUUAUCAAUGAAAUUCCUACAGUCUUUCUCGACACAAGUCAUGUUCUCUAAUCCCCCGCCUCCAAUACAGUUGAGUUAUAGCUUUUAUGCAAUGGGAUCUCUGCUAUGUCAUUGACCUCAAGCCGUCUUUUAACGUGUGCACUAAGUUCCCGAUUGCAUCGAUAUAACCUAGAUUUAGAUGGGCUUGUCUUAUGGUUAUGCUCUAACUCCACAACAUUUAUUCGCCAUAUUCCAUGAGCAUCAGAACACGCUGUCAACCUUGCUCUGCAACCUAUUUCAAUCGUUGGCGGAGGGUUUAAAGAACUAUUUCUAUUAGUCUUCCGUCGACCUUCUCGACUACAAGUAAAACUCACGUAUCGAACAACCCCAUCAUCACCCUUCUUAGAGUUUCUUUUUCUCACAGGAAAGCCUAUUUCACAAGCAUACUUCUUGUAGAAUUCAAAUAACUCCCCCUCACUGUCAAAUUUCAUGCCAACCUUCGGAAUCGAAAUCUCAUUUUCUAAUCCCAACAUAUCAUCAGCCAAACAAUCAUCAUUGCCGAACUUGGCUGAGUAUUGCUCCAUUCCUGUAUGUGACCAAUUCAAAAGUAUGCACAAAGUUACCAAUUUAUUUUUUUUGUUAACUGAAACUUCAUACUUAUUCAUCAAAAUAUUGCAUUCCAAAUGACAAAUGCACAAAGUUACCAAUUUUGUCGUUGUAGUCCAGAAUGUCGUCGGACGCAUGACUAUCCUUUGUUUGUUGGUUAUUCUGGGUUUGCUCAUCUAUAGCAGAGGAAGAAGAUGAACAAACGUAUAAAAAGGACGCAAAAGUGUGCAAAAAGGAAGAAGAUGAACAAACUUUGCCAAAAUAAAAUUGAAAGUUAUGGUAACAUUGCUGCAGCACUCGCCGUCGACUUGCUCGCCUUCCACUUCCUCUCCGUCGACUUCCUCGCCGUCCAUACUGGGUUUAGUCUCCUUGCCCGGCUUCCAUCUUCUACAGUCCUUUGUCGAUGUGAAUGAGGAAAAUGUGAAACUUUACAAAAAAAAAAAUAAUAAUAAUAAAAUAAAAUAAAAUCUGAAGGGAACGAUCGUUGUAUGGCUGCUUUCCUACAAUCGAUUCACGUCGAAGGAGGGAAAUGUCCAAAAUCGAAGGAGGGAAAUGGAAGGGAGGGAACUGUGAAGAGCACGAGGCACGAAGGCUUUCUAUUUUGGUUUCAAUUUUUGCUAUUUUAUUUUUUGCCUUUCAUUUUGGCAAAAUAUCCUCAAAAUCUC